UGAGACCAUCCUGGAACUGGCAAAUUGUCACACAUUGGACAAGCUUUCCUCGGCAGAAAGGGCCUUUAGACUCUACUGAAUUACACCACCGGCUUUCCUGAUUCUCCAGUCUGAAGACGGCAGAUUGCGUGACUCCUCAGCCUCUGUAAUUGUCAUCUGGUGGGAAGUGUGCUUUCGCUUGAUGACACUGAAAAAUCAUGCCACGAGUGUCCAGUAACAGAAAGAAAAUAGACUUGCUGCACUCUGAGGAAGGGAAGGUUCCUCUCCACGCCCCCAGCGUGUAUGGGACCUAAGCUGCCAGGUUUUAGAAUGCUGGAGAAUUUCAAAUCAGACCACCUGCUCCUUAAAUGUCAAAACCAGCAGUAGUGUUUACAAUUCUAUACAACGGAUGUUCUCUAGCAACACCAAAAGCAAAUUUCAGGUCGUUAUGUAUCCACUACCAGGUGAGAAGGUUAAAGGACUAAGAACCAGGAAAGUAAAUAUUUGGCUUUUUGUGUACAAAUAACACAACAAUCCUCUUUUUUUCAUGCUAGUGUUUUAAAACAAAGUUGUUUUAUUAAUGCUGAUAAAAUUAAAUGAUAUGUCUC
rnacentral:lncRNA from 1 species